rnacentral:rRNA from 1 species
AUUAUAAAUACUAAAAUAGUAUAUAAUUAUUUAUUGAAACUUAAAUAUUUUGGCGGUAUUUUAGUUUAUUUAGAGGAAUCUGUUUAUUAAUUGAUAAUCCACGAUUUAAUUUACUUAAUUUAUUAUUUUGUAUAUCGUUGUUAAAUAAAUAUUUUUUAAUAAUUAUAAUAUUUUAAAAUUAUAAAAAAAAAUUAAAUCAAAUCAAGAUGCAGAUUAUAAUUAAGAAUAUAAUGGAUUACAAUAAAUUUAUUUAAAUGAAUUUUAAUUUGUAAUAAUUAAAUGAAAGUGGAUUUAAAUGUAAUUUUAUUUAUUUUAAUAAAAUGAUU